GCCUCAAGAGACCCUCCCACCUAAGCCUCUCAGAGUGCUGGGAUUACAGGUGUGAGCCACUGCACCUGGCCAACUUCUCCCUUCUCUUGAAUCCUUGCUGCCUCACGACAGGUGUCAGAGCGGCACCACCACACCGCAAAGUGAAGAGAUGAUGCCGUGCCUGGGAGGGUGGCUGGAGAGUCCCCCAUCACUGCUAGUAUGGGAACGGUGAUGGUAUGCAGAGAGGAGGUGUGGUUAGAAGGGCCAUCAGAAAAGAGGAGGGAAGAGCUGGAGCUGUGAAGAAAGAUGAGAUCACUGAGAGCUGCUGAGUCCCAAAGAAUCAAAACGAAGCCCUGCUCUGAGGCUUGUGGGUGAGCCUGGUGACCUUCCUUUCUUUUGAACUGUCUUCAUGUCUUCUCAUUUUUACGUAGUUGUGGCUACUCUUUGGGGAAAGUGUGGCUGCUUUUCUCUGUCUGCACAGAAGCAAUGCAAGGUUAUAGACUCCGGAACAUGAGAGCCAGAAGGAGCCACGAGAAGGGUAGGGGAAACGUCUGUUUUACAGAGGAGGACCCAAAUCUUAGGCAGCUUGCUGAGGCCACAGAGCUCACAGGGGAAUUUAGUUUGUUGACUUCCAGCUUGGAAUUCUUUGUCACACAAGUGUUGGGGCUCAUAAAAUAAUGCCCAAAAUGUGGCACUUGACGAGCUGAACUAAAGCAGCAGCUUCAAGGUUUCUCUCUGGCUUUCCCCCGCCAUCGUGUGUCUGUGACCCUUUCUUUUCUUUUCUUUUUUUUUUUUUUUUGACCCUUUUCUAAAGCACCAGGAGCAUGCUGUCUCUCUGACCUUUUUCUUUUCUUUUCAACCCUUUCUUUUCUAAAGCACCAGGAGGACCUCUUUCUCUGGAAGUUCCCUUACCUGAUUAAGAACACUUCUAAAAUAAAUGCAGCCGUCUUAAAGCCCCCUCCCUAUGAAUCUCAUUAAAUAACCAGGAAUGAUUAAUCACCCAAGAAAAGACUGAAAAAGAAGCUACAGCCAGGAUACCAUACCCAGACAGACUUUUCGUCUUUUCUUCUGAGGGAGGUUCCAAGAGAUAACCUGGGAGACUGUAUCUGCAUAAUAAGACAACCUUAGUUCACAGUGCAGUACCACCCCUCACCUUCCAUGACUUGUCCACAAGCUAUUGUUUGUCCUUCAGUCCCAUUCAGCAUCCAAAGAGAACCAUUUGCAAACCACUGUCAGGUAUUUGGGUCCAUUCAUUUACAGCCCCCCAGCUCCCUUUCCCUAGUGAAGAGAGUAUUUAAGUGCCAACCAUUGGGCCUUUCUGUGUAUGUUCAUAUUUUUUAUAUGGCUUCCCUGCUUCAUGCAUGUUAAUAAAUUUGUUAUGAUUUUCUCUUGUUAA
rnacentral:lncRNA from 1 species